GGGGAUAUGGCAGAAUUGGUAGACGCUACGGACUUAAAAUCCGUUGGCUUUAUUGACCGUGAGGGUUCAAGUCCCUCUACCCCCA
rnacentral:tRNA from 1 species